UCUGCCCUUAGAUGUGUUGCAGGUGUGGUUGCUGUGUCACAUAUGCUUCCGUAGGUGGCAGACAGAAGAGAGGCUAUGUCUGUGCUUAGUGUUCUGACCUCUGAACAUCUGAAGGAUUAGUAGCCUAAAAUU
ensembl:snoRNA Gm25244 small nucleolar RNA SNORA17